GAGAGAGAACCCCUCUCCUCCAGACUUCAAACUAAAAGCUUUCCCCUUCCCUUUCCCCUUUCCCCUUUGCCUAUCUCUCAGUCACUAACUAUCACCAGGAAAGUAGUGUAUGCAGAUUGGAUUAAGCCUGGGUACCUUAAUCACUGGCAAUAGGGGUGGGAAAUCUGAUUGGCUUAGGCCAGCAGUCAGCAAAUUAGGGCUGGGGGCCAAAUCCUAUCCACCAGCUGUUUCUGGGAAGUUUUAUUAGAACACAAACUCUUUCCCCCCAAUUUUAUCCAUGGCGACUCCUGCACCACACCAGAGUUCUGUGGUUGCUAACAGACACCAUAGUGUCCGUCAAGUCUCAAGUAUUUACAAUCUGGCCUUUUAAGAGAAAGUUUGCAAAUCCCUGGCUUGAGUUCACAUGUGUCCACUUUGGAGCUGACUCUAAUCCCCUAAAUCAUGAUGCUACAGAAGAGAAAAAGCUGGACUCGACUGGACCAAUAUUGGUUGGGAUCAGUUCCUUACAUUGAUCUGUCUUCCCACCUUGGCAGUGUGUUUUGUUUUGUUUUACUGAAUCGUCUGCAAAUUAUUUGUUAAUUCUGCGAAACCAGACUCGUCAAACCCUCUGCUAGAUCUUCAACCCAUCGGCAGUGGUUAGAGGAAUUCCCCAGAGUCCUGCUGUGCUUCCAGAAGAAAUCUCCCUCAAACUGGUGAUGCCUGGUCAGUCACAGGAAGAACCACUCCUGAGCACGCUCACAUCAUGAUUUUCCAGGUGAGCCAUUUCCUGUCUUCCUGUCAAAACAACAAUCUG
rnacentral:lncRNA from 1 species